rnacentral:sRNA from 1 species
UGACCACCCUUAAAAAGGGUUAAGGCCAUACGGACAGCCGGGUCAACUGCCGA